AGUAGGGAAUUUUCCACAAUGGGCGCAAGCCUGAUGGAGCAAUCCUGCGUGAAUGAUGAAGGUCCUACAAGAUCGUAAAGUUCUUUUAUUUGAGACGAACAGCUAAAAUAGGAAAUGAUUUUAGUUUGACUGUAUCAAUUGAAUAAGUAUCGGCUAACUAUGUGCCAGCAGCCGCGGUAAUACAUAGGAUGCAAGCGUUAUCCGGAUUUACUGGGCGUAAAGCGAGCGCAGGCGGAUUUGUAAGUUUGGUGUUAAAGGCAAUUGCUUAACAAUUGUUUGCAUUGAAAACUGCAAGUCUAGAGUGUAGUAGGGAGUUUUGGAACUCCAUGUGGAGCGGUGGAAUGCGUAGAUAUAUGGAAGAACACCAGUGGCGAAGGCGAAAACUUUGACUACAACUGACGCUUAGGCUCGAAAGUGUGGGGAGCAAA
rnacentral:rRNA from 1 species